rnacentral:rRNA from 1 species
AGAGUUUGAUCCUGGCUCAGGAUGAACGCUGGCGGCGUGCUUAACACAUGCAAGUCGAACGAACACUACUUGAUUGACAGCUUCAGCGGGAUUUCACUUUUUUCUUAACUCGGCGCGCAUCGGCUGACUAACAAGUGGGCAACCUGCCCUGUACUGCGAAAUAAUCUCUGAGUAGAAUCGGCAGACUACUAUCACGCUUGUCCUCACUGGAAGGCAUCAUUCCACGCGAAAAAAGGUAUUUCUUCUUGGCGAGAUGAGGCGCCUCCUCUGAGUUACCUAUUUGGUGAGAUCACAUCAGCCCGACCGAUGCGACCAUCUGUAGCUCGGACACUGAGAGGGUGAUCCGCCACAUUGCGACUGAGACGCAGACCGCACUCCUGCCGAAGGCCUGAUGGGGGAAUAUUGCACGAUGCGGGGAAACCCUGAUGCACCAACACCUCGUGACUGAUGAAAGAUUUCGGAUCGUCUACUUCUAAUAAGCCCGGAAUAAACUAACAUGACCGCACCUCGAAUAAGAACCCCCGGUAUAUAUGUGCCCCCACACGCGGUAAUAUGUAGGGGGCAAGAGUUAUCUCGAAUUUUUGGGUGUAAAGGGAGUGUAGGCGGCAUGUCAAGCCUCAUGAGAAAGCCCGGGGCUUUCCCCCGUGGAUAGCUUUUGGAACUGGCAAGCUAGAGUACAGGAGAGGAAAGCGGAAUUCCUAGUGUAGCGGUGAAAUGCGUAGAUAUUAGGAAGAACACCAGUGGCGAAGGCGGCUUUCUGGACUGAAACUGACGCUGAGGCUCGAAAGCGUGGGGAGCAAACAGGAUUAGAUACCCUGGUAGUCCACGCCGUAAACGAUGAGUGCUAGGUG